rnacentral:rRNA from 1 species
CAUGAACGCUAGCGGCAGGCUUAAUACAUGCAAGUCGUGGGGCAGCGCAGUGUAGCAAUACAUGGGCGGCGACCGGCAAACGGGUGCGUAACACGUACGCAACCUUCCCGUUACUGGGGAAUAGCCCAGGGAAACUUGGAUUAAUACCCCAUAUUAUAUUGAUUGGGCAUCUAAUUAAUAUCAAAACUUCGGCGGUAACGGAUGGGCGUGCGGUUGAUUAGGUAGUUGGCGGGGUAACGGCCCACCAAGCCUACGAUCAAUAGCUGAUGUGAGAGCAUGAUCAGCCACACGGGCACUGAGACACGGGCCCGACUCCUACGGGAGGCAGCAGUAAGGAAUAUUGGGCAAUGGACGAAAGUCUGACCCAGCCAUGCCGCGUGGAGGAUGAAGGUCCUCUGGAUUGUAAACUUCUUUCUUCUGGGGCGAAAACCGGUUUUUCUAAACCAUUUGACAGUACCAGAAGAAUAAGCACCGGCUAACUCCGUGCCAGCAGCCGCAGUAACAC